rnacentral:rRNA from 1 species
CUACGGGCCGCUGCAGUGGGGAAUAUUGCACAAUGGGGGGAACCCUGAUGCAGCAACGCCGCGUAGAGGAUGACGCAUUUCGGUGUGUAAACUCCUUUUAUAUGUCAAGAAAAUGACGGUAGCAUAUGAAUAAGCACCGGCUAACUCCGUGCCAGCAGCCGCGGUAAUACGGAGGGUGCAAGCGUUACUCGGAAUCACUGGGCGUAAAGGACGCGUAGGCGGGUUGGAAAGUCAGGUGUGAAAUCCUACAGCUUAACUGUAGAACUGCACUUGAAACUUCUAAUCUAGAGUAUGGGAGGGGGAGAUGGAAUUAGUGGUGUAGGGGUAAAAUCCGUAGAUAUCACUAGGAAUACCUAAAGCGAAGGCGAUCUCCUGGAACAUUACUGACGCUGAGGCGUGAAAGCGUGGGGAGCAAACAGGAUUAGAUACCCGUGUAGUC